AUGGAGUUGGUGACGGGGGCGACGACCAGGCUGCUCCCGAAGCUGGGCGCGCUGCUGAAGGACGAGUACAAGCUGCAAGACAAAGUGAAGAAGGACAUCGAGUCUCUCCAAAACGAGCUCGUCUUCAUGAACGCCACCCUCCGCAUGGUGGCGGAGGUGCCACGGGACCAGCUAGACGAGCACGUCCGGAUCUGGGCUGUAUUCAUCAAGGACGUCUCCUACGACAUGGAGGACGUUGUCAACACCUUCGUGAUGCAUGUACACGGGGCCCCACAUCGGGAAGGCCUCAUCAGGAAGGCCUUCAACGUGCUCUGCAUGGGGAGAACUAACCAUGAGAUUGCUCGCAUGGUUGAGGAGAUCAGGAGCCUUAUCAAGGAGGUGGCAGAUCUGCGUGAAAGAUACCGGUUUGACAAUAUCGUCACCAGGGCCGCCACACCAGUUGUUCUCCUGCCAAGGGAGAACACGUUGACCAGAUCUCUCGCUGCUGACUGUGAGGAGAUAACCCACCGGCAUAUCGGCAUCAAGUACGAAGAGCCCGUGGGAGUAGAAGAGGACAUGAAAGUACUCCACGACUGGAUCACCUCCGGCGACAACCACAGCAUGCUGUCCAUUCUUGGACCGGCGGGUGUGGGAAAAACAACCAUUGCAACGGCCCUCUAUCACAACUACGCGGAUCAGUUUCAGAGCCGGGCCAUGGUCAACGUGUCUUCAAACUCUGGCAACUUUGAGCUGGCCCUCAUGAAUAUACUGAAGCAAGUCAAGCCACAGGAGGUGACAGACCAUGAUGGCAGUAUUCCUGAAAUAGCAACCGCACUGCAGGACUGCCUCCAAGGAAAAAGGUUCUUGAUCUUACUUGGUGAUGUGUGGUCUGCAUCAAUGUUGGAGAACUUCAGAAACAUUUUCCUAAAAGUGAGAAAGGCAGUAGAGUAA
rnacentral:rRNA from 1 species